GCGACCACGACGGCGACUCCUGCAUCGCCCGCGCCAUUGGAAACCUAUGCCAGAACUUCCUCCUCUCCUAUGGGGUUAGGGUAGGGACCGGGAUCCUACUAGUUUGAGCUUUCAAGCUCGCCAAGCGUGGGUCUUACUCGUCCAUCCUCGAUCUCAAGCAUUUUAGCAGGUUCAGUUGCAGGCUUGUCUAUAUUGUCCUUAGAUGAUUCAAGUCAAAGACGCACUCUUGCUUUACAUGUGUUAACUAGGCUUGGUCAGUGUGCAUAUAAUUCUGCAAAGGCAAAGAAUAAGUUUCAUCUUCGGGAAGCCAUUGGAGGCAUGGAGAUUCUUUACUCUUUUCCUUGGCAUGUGCUCAGUUAUUGGAAUCUCCUACUCGUACUUCUUGGUGUUCCGUUCUCGGUGCGGUUUGCUCAACAAUGUUUUUGUCUGCUUUUGCUGGAAUAUUUC